AAGAUGCAUGAGUGUAUGGGUGGAUGUGUGUGUAGGGGAUAGUUUUCCCCAUUCUUAUAUCUCAACACAGGACACACACACACACCUCAAUCUCUCGUUCUCCCCACUCUCUCCCGAAACCCUCUCUUCGGCUCUCUCUCCCUCUCUUUUGCUCUCAACCAAAAACCCAUCAAAACAACAUGAAACCUACACAAACCCAUCUCCAUUUUAACUUCUAUAUGCAUUAUUGAGCCUUAAUUUCGUGGGUCAAGCUCGGGGAAGGAGGAACCGGCUGAUUUUGAAGUUUUGGAGGUUAGGGCUUUGUUUGAUCUCAUGAGUUCGGCUUUGAAACUUGAGGUAGGAAAAUCUAACUAAUUUUAUGUGUUUAUGAGUUGAUAUAGUGUUUGAGACUUGCUAUUGAUCAUUGUAUUGAGAUUUGUUGUUGAAUUCCUUUGAAAUCCCCAAAAUCUGCUGCUGUCCCGUUUUUCUGCUGCUGCCCAUUUUUCUGAGAUUUUUCCCAACUUCGAACAGUCAUAACUUCCUCGUCCGAUAUCGAAAACGCCCAAAUUAUAUAUCGAAUUCGAGAUCUUGAAGUCAGCUUUCCAGGGCCACCAAAAUCACCUUAAAACUCUAAGUACACAGAAAGUUAUGAUCAUAGGAGUGAAGGUACAAAUCAGAGGCUGUGACAUGGGUUGCUGUGCUUGCAUGCGAUCCUACAUUUUGAAAGCGACUUCAGAGAGUUAAUUUUGCAUCUCUUUUUAAACUUUAUCACCGGAUGAAGAAAUUGUAAUCUUAUUAUUAUUAUUAUUAUUAUUAUUAUUAUUAUUAUUUUUUGUUAAAUGAAGGAUCCCUGUAAACUCUUAACUUUCUUUUAACGUGAUCUAGUGGUUUUAGGCCGUUGGGCCAAAGAUGUAAAUUUGGGAAUGCUUUGGAGUUUGGAGAUGAUUUGCGAACAAGGGGAUUAGAAAUGGCUUUUGGGUAA